UACGGAGGAUGCGAGCGUUAUCCGGAUUUAUUGGGUUUAAAGGGUGCGCAGGCGGAUUUUUAAGUCAGCGGUCAAAUCGUGGGGCUCAACCCCAUCCAGCCGUUGAAACUGGGGAUCUAGAGUGUGCGAGAGGUAUGCGGAAUGCGUGGUGUAGCGGUGAAAUGCAUAGAUAUCACGCGGAACCCCGAUUGCGAAGGCAGCAUACCGGCGCACAACUGACGCUCAGGCACGAAAGCGUGGGUAUCAAACAGG
rnacentral:rRNA from 1 species